rnacentral:rRNA from 1 species
UCCGUUCCAGCAGCCGCGGUAAGACGGAGAGGGCAAGUGUUAUCUGGAAUCACUGGGCGUAAAGCGUCCGUAGGUGGUUUAAUAAGUCAACUGUUAAAUCUUGAGGCUCAACUUCAAAAUCGCAGUCGAAACUAUUAGACUAGAGUAUAGUAGGGGUAAAGGGGCUUUCUAGGUCGUGGGUGAAAUGCGUAGAUAGAUAAAGAACGCCCAUCGCGAAAGCAGUCUGCUGGG